UGCUCGAGUGGCGAACGGGUGAGUAACACGUGAGUAACCUGCCCUUGACUUUGGGAUAACUUCAGGAAACUGGGGCUAAUACCGGAUAGGAGCUCCUGCUGCAUGGUGGGGGUUGGAAAGUUUCGGCGGUUGGGGAUGGACUCGCAGCUUAUCAGCUUGUUGGUGGGGUAGUGGCUUACCAAGGCUUUGACGGGUAGCCGGCCUGAGAGGGUGACCGGCCACAUUGGGACUGAGAUACGGCCCAG
rnacentral:rRNA from 1 species